UACGUAGGGUGCGAGCGUUGUCCGGAAUUAUUGGGCGUAAAGAGCUCGUAGGCGGUCUGUCGCGUCUGCUGUGAAAACCCGAGGCUCAACCUCGGGCCUGCAGUGGGUACGGGCAGACUAGAGUGCGGUAGGGGAGAAUGGAAUUCCUGGUGUAGCGGUGGAAUGCGCAGAUAUCAGGAGGAACACCGGUGGCGAAGGCGGGUCUCUGGGCCGAUACUGACGCUGAGGAGCGAAAGCGUGGGUAGCAAACAGG
rnacentral:rRNA from 1 species